rnacentral:lncRNA from 1 species
GGCGGAGUCGGUGGAGGCGGAGGCCAUAUGUAUCACGGGUAUCCAGGUAGGCGCAUGUCUUACGGCUAUUCACGUAGACCAUACCAUGGGUACGGAGGUAGAUACGCAUACUGAGACUGGCAAUUCAACUGGAAACAAUUGAUGAUGAAGGCACAGAUGGAUAUUACGUGGAAUGGAUAUUUGAAAUAAAAAUAAGAGCUUA